CAACUUCAAAAUUUCCCACAUUCUCAGUGAAAAUUUCUUGAAAACAUUCAUUUCCCUCUCACUUUUGGUUUCCCUCCCCUUCUAAAAUUUCUCCCCGACUCGUUUUCCCUCUUCUAAAAUUAUAAUUUGUCUUUCAUUGUUGCGUCGUUUUUUUUUCUCUAGAACCCUAGGUUGCAGGUCAUUAAGCUCGUCUCGUCUUUUGUGACUCGUCUUCUUCGCUGUCAGCCAAUAUAAGCCCAAACCAUGAAAUCAUGGAUAGAUCUUGGAUGUAUUUUGCGUGCAACAUGGAACGUGAAGUAGAUGCUGAAGAAAAUGACCAUAACUCAAUUUUUUUAUUACUCAUUAAUCAAUAUUCCUAUCUAGCGAUGGCUAGUGGUGCUGGCGGCAAGGUCUCUUUCAAGGUUAUCGCACCUCUGAUCCCAAGCUGCCAAUCAAAGUACUUAGCCCUCCAGAAGGAGCUCCUUUAGUGUUGCUCUUAAAUUUGUUGCUGAAUAAUUCAAAGUUCCUCAACAAACUAGUGCUGCAUUCACCAACGGUUAUUGCACUCGAAGGGGAACUUAAAGCUAACGACGGUAGAUCGAGACAAAUCUACAGGGAAUAUGAAAGAAUGUCAAUGUUCAUGAGCACAAAGUUUAUGGAUUUUGAGGGCAUAAUAUCCGAACAUGCAAGUGAAAUGAUGACCUGAUCGAGGAUGUUAGUAAAAACAUAUUAUUUAAUAUUAUAUAAAGUUCAUAUUUAGUUAAUUCGUAUAAUUUAUUCAUACAUUCGAUUGGUUAUCGUUUUAAAGUUUAAAUCAAAGCGUCAUUGUAUAA